rnacentral:tRNA from 1 species
GGAGAGAUGCCAGAGUGGAUGAAUGGGGCGGUCUCGAAAACCGUUGUGGUCCUCUGGGCCACCGAGGGUUCGAAUCCCUCUCUCUCCG